rnacentral:rRNA from 1 species
UAAAAAGAUCCUACGGCGUGCUUAACACAUGCAAGUGGAAGCGAGAGAUCCUGAGCAAUCGGGAGAGUAAAGUGGCGCACGGGUGAGUAACGCGUGGGUAAUCUACCCUGGAGUCGGGAAUAACACUUCGAAAGGAGUGCUAAUACCUGGUAAGAUCCUGUGGACUUUGGUUCGUGGGAUAAAAGAUGGCUGAGGCUUGCAAGCUAUUGCUCCAGGAUGAGCCCGCGUACCAUUAGCUAGUUGGCGGGGUAAUAGCCCACCAAGGCAAUGAUGGUUAGCUGGUCUGAGAGGAUGGCCAGCCACACUGGAACUGAGAUACGGUCCAGACUCCUACGGGAGGCAGCAGUGAGGAAUCUUGCGCAAUGGGGGCAACCCUGACGCAACAACGCCCGCGUGAGUGAUGAAGGCCUUCGGGUCGUAAAGCUCUGUCAGAUGGGAAGAAUAUCUUGGUGGUAAAUAAUCACCAGGAUUGACGGUACCGUCGAAGGAAGCACCGGCUAACUCCGUGCCAGCAGCCGCGGUAAUACGGAGGGUGCAAGCGUUGUUCGGAAUUAUUGGGCGUAAAGAGCGUGUAGGCGGUCGGGUAAGUCAGAUGUGAAAGCCCUUGGCUUAACCAAGGAAGUGCAUUUGAAACUGCCUGGCUUGAGUACGGGAGGGGGAAGUGGAAUUCCCGGUGUAGAGGUGAAACUCGUAGAUAUCGGGAGGAACACCAGUGGCGAAGGCGGCUUCCUGGACCGAUACUGACGCUUGAGACGCGAAAGCGUGGGGAGCAAACAGGAUUAGAUACCCUGGAGUCGACCCGUAAAGUUUNAAAUUUUUNNUUU